AGUGAACGCUGGCGGUAGGCCUAACACAUGCAAGUCGAACGGCAGCACAGUAAGAGCUUGCUCUUACGGGUGGCGAGUGGCGGACGGGUGAGGAAUACAUCGGAAUCUACUUUUUUGUGGGGGAUAACGUAGGGAAACUUACGCUAAUACCGCAUACGACCUACGGGUGAAAGCAGGGGAUCUUCGGACCUUGCGCGAUUGAAUGAGCCGAUGUCGGAUUAGCUAGUUGGCGGGGUAAAGGCCCACCAAGGCGACGAUCCGUAGCUGGUCUGAGAGGAUGAUCAGCCACACUGGAACUGAGACACGGUCCAGACUCCUACGGGAGGCAGCAGUGGGGAAUAUUGGACAAUGGGCGCAAGCCUGAUCCAGCCAUACCGCGUGGGUGAAGAAGGACUUCGGGUUGUAAAGCCCUUUUGUUGGGAAAGAAAAGCAGCAGGUUAAUACCCCGCUGUUCUGACGGUACCCAAAGAAUAAGCACCGGCUAACUUCGUG
rnacentral:rRNA from 1 species